AUAACUUUUAACAAUGGAUCUCUAGGCUCUCACAUUGAUGAAGAACACAGUGAAAUGUGAUAAGUAAUGUGAAUUGCAGAAUUCAGUGAAUCAUUGAAUCUUUGAACGCACCUUGUGCCUCUUGGUAUCCCAAGAGGCACACCUGUUUGAGUGUCA
rnacentral:rRNA from 1 species